rnacentral:tRNA from 1 species
GAGGGUAUAGCUCAGUGAUAAAGCAUAUGCUUAGCAUGCGUGAGGUUCCUGGUUCAAUUCCCAGUACCUCCA